ACGCGAACGACCUUUCGGGGUUAAGUAGAGUGGCGAACGGGUUAGUAACGCGUGGGAACAUACACAGCACAGGGGGAUAACCAUUGGAAACGAUGGCUAAUACCGCAUACGCCCUAUUGGGGAAAGAUUUAUCGGUGUUGGAUUGGCCCGCGUUAGAUUAGCUAGUUGGUGGGGUAAUGGCUCACCAAGGCGACGAUUUAUAGCUGGUUUGAGAGGAUGAUCAGCAACACUGGAACUGAGACACGGUCCAGACUCCUACGGGAGGCAGCAGUCGGGAAUAUUGUGCAAUGGGGGCAACCCUGACACAGCCAUGCCGCGUGAGUGAAGAAGGCCUUAGGGUUGUAAAGCUCUUUCAGAUGUGAGGAUGAUGACGAUAGCAUCAGAAGAAGCUCCGGCUAACUUCGUGCCAGCAGCCGCGGUAAUACGAAGGGAGCUAGCGUUGUUCGGAAUUACUGGGCGUAAAGGGCGUGUAGGCGGAUUAUCAAGUUAGGGGUGAAAUCCCGGGGCUCAACCUCGGCACUGCCUUUAAGACUGAUAAUCUA
rnacentral:rRNA from 1 species